GCCUUUGUGGUGUAGUAGUCAGCAUGCUCAACGUGUAUUCGAGAGGUCCGUGGUUCGAGUCCCGGGGAAGGUG
rfam:Stegodyphus mimosarum contig122535, whole genome shotgun sequence.